ACUUCCUGAGCCGGAAAGAAAAGUGCGGAGGGGUGACCUGAGGUGCUUUUGGCUGGUGGUUGUGAUGUUGUGUUUGCGAUUCAUUUGUCUGCCUUUGCGGACAGGGUAGCCGGGCUACCUUUUCACUUCCUGUACAUUUAUCCUGUCUGUCCAUAGUGAUUUUAUGUAGCACCGCGGAUGCGGUGCUUUUUUUA
rnacentral:other from 1 species